rnacentral:rRNA from 1 species
UGGGACUUGCGGCGUGCUUACCAUGCAAGUCGAACGGGAUCCAUCGCCGUAGCUUGCUACAUGAUGGAUCUAGUGGCGAACGGGUGAGUAACACGUGGGCAAUCUGCCCCGAAGACCGGGAUAACACGGGGAAACCCGUGCUAAUACCGGAUAACCUGCCUUUCCCGCAUGGCAUCGGCAGAAAAAGGAAGUUUACUUCCGCUUCGGGAUGAGCCCGCGGCCCAUUAGCUUGUCGGUGAGGUAACGGCUCACCGAGGCGACGAUGGGUAGCCGGCCUGAGAGGGUGACCGGCCACACUGGGACUGAGAUACGGCCCAGACUCCUACGGGAGGCAGCAGUGGGGAAUAUUGCGCAAUGGACGAAAGUCUGACGCAGCGACGCCGCGUGGGCGAAGAAGGCCUUCGGGUUGUAAAGCCCUGUCAGGGGGGACGAAGGCGCAAGCUGACGGUACCUCCAGAGGAAGCCCCGGCCAACUACGUGCCAGCAGCCGCGGUAAUACGUAGGGGGCGAGCGUUGUCCGGAAUCAUUGGGCGUAAAGAGCACGUAGGCGGCCUGUCAAGUCAGAUGUGAAAACCCGGGGCUCAACUUCGGGACUGCAUUUGAAACUGGCAAGCUAGAGUCCAGUAGAGGAAAGUGGAAUUCCCAGUGUAGCGGUGUAAUGCGCAGAUAUUGGGAAGAACACCGGUGGCGAAGGCGGCUUUCUGGGCUGUGACUGACGCUGAGGUGCGAAAGCUAGGGGAGCAAACAGGAUUAGAUACCCUGGUAGUCCUAGCCGUAAACGAUGGGCACUAGGUGUGGGGAGUGUCAACUCUUUCCGUGCCGAAGCUAACGCAUUAAGUGCCCCGCCUGGGGAGUACGGUCGCAAGGCUAAAACUCAAAGGAAUUGACGGGGGCCCGCACAAGCGGCGGAGCAUGUGGCUUAAUUCGACGCAACGCGAAGAACCUUACCAGGGCUUGACAUGCUUCUGAAAGGCGUGGAAACACGCCCCCCUUUAUGGCAGUUGCACAGGUGGUGCAUGGCUGUCGUCAGCUCGUGUCGUGAGAUGUUGGGGUAAGUCCCGCAACGAGCGCAACCCUUGUCCUGCGUGCAGCGAUCGGCGGGACUCACAGAGACUGCGUGACAACGAGAGGUGGGGGACGACGUCAAGUCAUCAUGCCCUUAUGCCUCUGGGCUGCAA